AGUGAACGCUGGCGGUAGGCCUAACACAUGCAAGUCGAACGGCAGCACAGUAAGAGCUUGCUCUUACGGGUGGCGAGUGGCGGACGGGUGAGGAAUACAUCGGAAUCUACUUUUUCGUGGGGGAUAACGUAGGGAAACUUACGCUAAUACCGCAUACGACCUACGGUUGAAAGCAGGGGAUCUUCGGACCUUGCGCGAUUGAAUGAGCCGAUGCCGGAUUAGCUAGUUGGCGGGGUAAAGGCCCACCAAGGCGACGAUCCGUAGCUGGUCUGAGAGGCUGAUCAGCCACACUGGAACUGAGACACGGUCCAGACUCCUACGGGAGGCACCAGUGGGGAAUAUUGGGCAAUGGGCGCAAGCCUGAUCCAGCCACACCGCGUGGGUGAAGAAGGCCUUCGGGUUGUAAAGCCCUUUUGUUGGGAAAGAAAAGCAGCAGGUUAAUACCCCGCUGUUCUGACGGUACCCAAAGACUAAGCACCGGCUAACUUCGUG
rnacentral:rRNA from 1 species